CACGUUUUGCCAACCCACAUAUAUCUAGCUUGUAGCGCUUAUAAUGAAAAUCCUUUAAAUUUUGUACAGCGGAAAGUGUGUUACUAAGAAACUUUUCUGUUGACGACUGUGCAUCAGAUAAAGAGCCAAAUGGAUGCUUCAAUAAAGUAUCGUAAGUGACUCUGUAUAAUUUAGCUGGAAUCAUUACACCAGAAUCACCAAAAUUAUCUUUAGCAAUAAAUUCUCUUGUUUGAUAGAACUGUAGCUGUAAUGUGAAAAAGCCAACUAGUUUACCUGAGGAGCACUCUUGUCUAUAAGUCAGCGUAUCCCAAAACUCUUCAACGGACAUGUCACUUUUCUCAUCUUGAAGCUCGCAUAAAUACCUACAUUUUGGGUCAUCUGGAAAUCUUGGUAAUUCUUCAACUGCUUUUCCAGUUGUUAUAGCGUUGCUUUCAAUCCAAUGACGAUUGGGUAAGUACGAACGAAUAUUUUCAAGUCCAGGAACAAAUAAAUAAGCCUUAGGAAGUAAUGUGGAAUUCUUUUGCUUUUCGGAAUCGUUUGGUGCUUCACUGUCAGUAUAAUACUUCCUGAGUUUUUCCAAACAAUUUACCCACCAGCGUAACAAACCAGAAUCAUUCAGCACAUGCUUUUGUCCAUUGUCCACCGACUCAGGAAAUAAAUAUUGACCUUGAGCAAUCGCAAACAGAGUCAAAGUUACAUUUUCGGCUCCUUGUUUUCUAAGACCGUCAAUAAGUGUCACUAAGCAGCAAAAAGCAAGAGAGUUACAAGAUACCCCUUUGCUGCCGAAUCCGGUAGAAUCUGCUUUAGAUACAAAUACUAUAAACUCUUUGUUUUUUUCGUAAACUAUGCAUUCCAUGCCAAAAAUAAAUACAUUUUGUUCCUCUACCAAAAAAAGAUGACUCCCAAAUUGAAAAUCCUUAGACUUCUUACUUUGACCAAAUAGAAAUGGACAUUUCUCUAAAGUACUUUUAAGAUGAUAAAUACUCAAUUUUCUGCCUUCUAAUAUACUUUCUGACCAAAGAUCCGGCAUAUUCUUUAGUUUAAAGGAUAAAGAGAGUUAACGCAACUACAGCAAUUAUUGUGAGUGAAUACUAUGUUACAAUUGCUUAAGUGAUAUAAUGAAUCUAAUAAAACAACGUCAAAAUCCGUAAGGAGCUUUAAUUUUUGCUGGUAAACCUUUAUAGUGUGUUCGUUAUUGAUGACUAUUCUGAGAUGCAUGGCAAGAGGUGUUGUUUCUACAGCUCUCUUAAAAGUUCCAACUUAUUACACUCUCAAUACACAUCAAUAUG